rnacentral:rRNA from 1 species
UAAGCAUAUCAAUAAGCGGAGGAAAAGAAACCAACAGGGAUUGCCCUAGUAACGGCGAGUGAAGCGGCAACAGCUCAAAUUUGAAAUCUGGCUCUUUUAGAGUCCGAGUUGUAAUUUGCAGAGGGCGCUUUGGCUUUGGCAGCGGUCCAAGUUCCUUGGAACAGGACGUCACAGAGGGUGAGAAUCCCGUACGUGGUCGCUGGCUAUUGCCGUGUAAAGCCCCUUCGACGAGUCGAGUUGUUUGGGAAUGCAGCUCUAAAUGGGAGGUACAUUUCUUCUAAAGCUAAAUAUUGGCCAGAGACCGAUAGCGCACAAGUAGAGUGAUCGAAAGAUGAAAAGCACUUUGGAAAGAGAGUCAAACAGCACGUGAAAUUGUUGAAAGGGAAGCGCUUGCAGCCAGACUUGCUUGCAGUUGCUCAUCCGGGCUUUUGCCCGGUGCACUCUUCUGCAGGCAGGCCAGCAUCAGUUUGGGCGGUAGGAUAAAGGUCUCUGUCACGUACCUCUCUUCGGGGAGGCCUUAUAGGGGAGACGACAUACUACCAGCCUGGACUGAGGUCCGCGCAUCUGCUAGGAUGCUGGCGUAAUGGCUGUAAGCGGCCCGUCUUGAAACACGGACCAAGGAGUCUAACAUCUAUGCGAGUGUUUGGGUGUCAAGCCCGAGCGCGUAAUGAAAGUGAACGGAGGUAGGAACCCGCAAGGGUGCACUAUCGACCGAUCCUGAUGUCUUCGGAAGGAUUUGAGUAAGAGCAUGGCUGUUGGGACCCGAAAGAUGGUGAACUAUGCUUGAAUAGGGUGAAGCCAGAGGAAACUCUGGUGGAGGCUCGCAGCGGUUCUGACGUGCAAAUCGAUCGUCAAAUUUGGGCAUAGGGGCGAAAGACUAAUCGAACUAUCUAGUAGCUGGUUCCUGCCGA